CUUGACGCUGGCGGCAGGCCUAACACAUGCAAGUCGAGCGAGCGGCGGACGGGUGAGUAAUGUCUGGGAAACUGCCUGAUGGAGGGGGAUAACUACUGGAAACGGUAGCUAAUACCGCAUACCAUCGGAUGUGCCCAGAUGGGAUUAGCUUGUCGGUGAGGUAACGGCUAACCUAGGCGACGAGCCCUAGCUGGUCUGAGAGGAUGACCAGACACACGGGAACUGAGCAACGGUCCAGACUCCUACGGGAGGCAGCAGUGGGGAGUAUUGCACAAUGGGCGCAAUCCUGAUGCAGCCAUGCCGCGUGUAUGAAGAAGGCCUUCGGGUUGUAAAGUACUUUCAGCGGGGAGGCGUUACCCGCAGAAGAAGCACCGGCUAACUCCGUGCCAGCAGCCGCGGUAAUAC
rnacentral:rRNA from 1 species